CAGUAAAGGGUCAAGAGGUCGAAUGGCUCGGAUGGUUGGAUUAAUUCCGCGCCUGUAUACGUAAGGUAUUAUCCGCUUUGGCUCAUGACCAUCCUUACACUUCAGUGGCCCUUGAUCAUUUAGAGCCUCAAGCUUUUAUCCUUUAAAAAACGUCUUAUGUGGGAGAGAAGUUUCCAAUCCAUAUAACCAUACUCCCUCUUAACUCGUAACCGAUGUGGAACUAAAGAUGCCCUUCCCACUGCCACAACAGGUACCAUACAAUGCUAGUUGAUUCUUAUGCCAUUCAUUUUAAGGAGAUCAGACACGGAUAAAACUAGAGUGUAGAAGAAAAACAAACAGCUGAGGGACGAGCAUCCCUGCAAAUGUGGGCAACUGAUGCAAUAAGAAAAAUGCUUUGGAUCCAACCCUGGUUUUGAUUUUUUUCAAGAAAAAGCUUAAUUUCUAUGUAUCAUGCAAAAAUAGGUGCAUCAGACCACAACCCCACCUUGUAUCACCCCAGCAAUGUAAACUGCACCAAUUUCCAUUAUUUCAUAUGACAUAAACCAUUCUUUUUCAGUACCCUGGUUGGCCACCAUAGCAUUACUUUAAGAACAAUCAAGAAUCCAUGCAAAAAUAUUGACUUCCCUUUUAUUUCUGAUAAUGCAUCAAGCUAAAUGGAAUAGUUUUAUGGCUUACCAAAAGAGCAUGCUCCAGGCCUGCAUCAAGAGCCUGGACAAGACUAUCAGAUAGAUGUUUGACCUCUAACCAAGACCAACGGUUAUCUGUUGAACCUUCAGGAAUUGCCUCUAGUGCAUUGCCAGAAAGUCCGCAAUCUUUUAGCAGUUCUAUGCUCCUACCUUCAUCUGCCAUUUCCUCCAAGGAUUUCCUAAGACGCCGAGCUUCACCACUCUCUUCAAGAGAUCCAUCGGACUUCAUCUGAGUUACUUGCACAUCAGACAUCAACUCUGAUAAGGUAAUCAUCAGCAUGACCCUCAGCCGUGUUGUGUGUGUAAAAUAAUAGAAUGAAUUCUGUAGACACAGAAAAGACUCUGAUCAGAAUUUCAGUACAAACAUAUUCCUAAAAUUUCAUCUGAAAGCCAAUAACAUACCCUAACAAGUAUCUGUAAUCCAAUAACAGCCCUUCGCCUGAUGGAAUCAUUUCGAAAAACCGCAAGUCGUAGAAGAUGAAAUGCAACUUGCUUCAAGAAGCGAUCAUUCUCUCUGGCCAUCAGAGUCGCACCAUGAAGAUUGAAUAUAUUGUUGAACACAGGAAAGAAAGCUUUCC
rnacentral:lncRNA from 1 species